rnacentral:rRNA from 1 species
CGUGUGGUUCUAUUUUGUUGGUUUCUAGGACCGCCGUAAUGAUUAAUAGGGACAGUCGGGGGCAUCAGUAUUCAAUUGUCAGAGGUGAAAUUCUUGGAUUUAUUGAAGACUAACUACUGCGAAAGCAUUUGCCAAGGAUGUUUUCAUUAAUCAGGAACGAAAGUUAGGGGAUCGAAGACGAUCAGAUACCGUCGUAGUCUUAACCGUAAACUAUGCCGACUAGGGAUCGGACGAGUUCAUAUUUGACUCGUUCGGCACCUUACGAGAAAUCAAAGUGCUUGGGCUCCAGGGGGAGUAUGGUCGCAAGGCUGAAACUUAAAGAAAUUGACGGAAGGGCACCACCAGGGGUGGAGCCUGCGGCUUAAUUUGACUCAACACGGGGAAACUCAC